rnacentral:misc_RNA from 1 species
UUUCCGUAGGUGAACCUGCGGAAGGAUCAUUCUUGAUUAACCGAGGAGCGAGGGCUGUCGCUGACCCGACAGGUCGUGCACGCUCGAAUGCGCUCUUACACAUCCAUCUCACCCCUAUGUGCACCACUGCGUGGGUACCCUUUUUGCUUGUUAUGUGAGGGGUUAACGUUUUCACAUACACUUUGCAACCAGUGUAGUCUGUAUUUUUUCUUUUUUCGAUAACGCAAUCAAUACAACUUUCAACCACCGAACUCUUGGUCCUCGCAACGAAGAAGAAAG